rnacentral:tRNA from 1 species
AGGAUAGUAGUUAACUAUAACAUUUAACUUGCAAUUAAAAAGUAUUGAAAAUCAAUUUAUCUUA